rnacentral:rRNA from 1 species
UACGUAGGGGGCGAGCGUUGUCCGGAGUUACUGGGCGUAAAGCGCGCGCAGGCGGCGGUGCUGGCCCGGCGUGAAAGCCCCCGGCUCAACCGGGGAGGGUCGUCGGGGACCGCACCGCUUGAGGGCGGUAGGGGCUGGUGGAAUGCCUGGUGUAGUGGUGAAAUGCGUAGAGAUCAGGCGGAACACCCGUGGCGAAGGCGGCCAGCUGGGCCGUCCCUGACGCUGAGGCGCGAAGGCGUGGGGAGCGAACGGG